rnacentral:rRNA from 1 species
UGAAGCGGCAACAGCUCAAAUUUGAAAUCUGGCCCUAGGCCCGAGUUGUAAUUUGGAGAGGAUGCUUUUGGCGCAGCGCCCCCCGAGUUCCCUGGAACGGGACGCCGUAGAGGGUGAGAGCCCCGUACGGGAGGACGCUAAGCCUCUGUAAAGCUCCCUCGACGAGUCGAGUAGUUUGGGAAUGCUGCUCUAAGCGGGAGGUAAAUUUCUUCUAAAGCUAAAUAUUGGCCCAAGACCGAUAGCGCACAAGUAGAGUGAUCGAAAGAUGAAAAGCACUUUGAAAAGAGGGUUAAACAGCACGUGAAAUUGUUGAAAGGGAAGCGCUUGUGACCAGACAUGCGCCCGUCGGAUCAUCCAGCGCUCUGCGCUGGUGCACUCCGGCGGGUUCAGGCCAGCACCGGCCUUCCCAGGCGGAUAAAAACAGCGGGAACGUAGCUCCCUCGGGAGUGUUAUAGCCCGCUGUAGAAUACGCCUGGGGGGGCCGAGGUACGCGCUCUGCAAGGGUGCUGGCGUAAUGGUCACCAGCGGCCCGUCUUGAAACACGGACCAAGGAGUCAAGCAUUAGGGCGAGUGUUUGGGUGUUAAACCCGCACGCGUAAUGAAAGUAAACGCUGGUGAGAGCUUCGGCGCAUCAUCGACCGAUCCUGAAGUAUUCGGAUGGAUUUGAGUAGGAGCCUUACCGCUUGGACCCGAAAGUUGAUGAACUAUGCCUGUAUAGGGUGAAGCCAGAGGAAACUCUGGUGGAGGCUCGCAGCGGUUCUGACGUGCAAAUCGAUCGUCAAAUAUGGGCAUGGGGGCGAAAGACUAAUCGAAUCAACUAGUAGCUGGUUACCGCCGAAGUUCCCUCAGGAUAGCAGUGUUGUUUUCAGUUUUAUGAGGUAAAGCGAAUGAUUAGGGACUCGGGGGCGCUAUUUAGCCU